rnacentral:rRNA from 1 species
UGGGGAAUAUUGCGCAAUGGGGGCAACCCUGACGCAGCCAUGCCGCGUGUGUGAAGAAGGCCUUCGGGUUGUAAAGCACUUUCAAUGGGGAAGAAAAGCGUAGCGUUAAUAGCGUUGCGCCGUGACGUUACCCAUAGAAGAAGCACCGGCUAACUCCGUGCCAGCAGCCGCGGUAAUACGGAGGGUGCGAGCGUUAAUCGGAAUUACUGGGCGUAAAGCGCGCGUAGGCGGUUUGUUAAGUCAGCUGUGA